rnacentral:lncRNA from 1 species
AGUCCUUCGCCGUCCCUCGCCGUCCUUCGCCAUCGCACGCCACCGCACCCCAUCUCUCGAAAUCUGCAGACAUCUUGAUUUUUCCCACGCUGUCUGUCAGGUCUCCGCCGCCACUCGACGCCAGGGCGCCGGGUGAGUCCACAGCAGGGCGCAUGGUCGGCUCCACUCUCACCAUCGGGGGAAACUGAGGCCCCGGGGAAGGCGGCCAGAGAGGUCAGGCCCUGUCCUUGGUGCAGUGUCUCGUCCUCUUUGCCGGAGUGAGCCCCCCAGGAUUCGCGUGUCCUCGGGAAAGACACUGGCAGGCCUUGUGGGCUGUGCUGCACCUCGGACGGCUUCGCACCAGCCAGCGCCCUCUCUCUCCUGCAGCACUCUGAUCUGCACCCCCUGAGGGGCUUCCACUGUCCGCGGGGUGAGAAUGCCCCUGGGAGUGUCACAUGACUGCCGCCCCAUGUGUGUGAGAGGCGUCCUCUGGGAGAGCAUGGAUCCUGAGGUCCCAGGAUUGUCAGCUGACCUCUGUCCUGUGUGCCCAGUGGCCCCAGGUGACGUGUCUUCAAGAAGAGGCUGAGCUGCGGUGCUUGUAAGGGUCUCAUUCUGUCACCCAGGCUGGAGUGCAGUGGUGCAAUGAUGGCUCACUGCAGCCUCGACCUGGGCUCAAGUGAUCCUCCACCUCAGCUUCCUGAGUAGCUGGGACCACAGAGUCAUGUGCUGUUCCUGGGGCUUGGAUGAUGUAGGGGAAGCAAGGUGAAAGUGGUAUCCCGUGGUUCCACGUUCUGUCCUGCUGUGGGGCUGUCCCUCACAUGCUUUCAGUGGCUGUUGCAGAGGAAGAGCCUCCGGAAAUCUGCGUGGGUCUCAGCCUUAGAUCCAAGGACAGUCCAAGGAAGUCCUAAGACCAUGGAGUUGGUGAUCUGGGAUCUGGGUUUGCUGAUAUUUCUCACCGUGAAUCUCUUGGUGGUGUUUGUGGGCACGAGAGGGGCAGAGAAUGGAGAGUGAGGCUACCACAUGAAGCGUCACCAGAGCUGCUCCCUGCUGCCUGCUCAGAGCACCCCGGAUCCACUGUUCAAUCUGCACAAGAUUCGGGGUCCAGACAUGGGAGACUUCAGCUGCCUCAGAGGACCGUGGACAGGGAAGGCCAGCCUCGCAUCCCUCUGUCCAUGCCUGGAAUGACUUUAAUAACCAAGAGUUUUAUUUUUGAAUUUGUAGCUGUCGUUCACUUUUUACCCACCCAUUCAAUAAACCUUACAGAAUUGCUCCA